rnacentral:rRNA from 1 species
UACGGAGGGUCCAAGCGUUAUCCGGAAUCAUUGGGUUUAAAGGGUCCGUAGGCGGUUUUGUAAGUCAGUGGUGAAAGCCCAUCGCUCAACGGUGGAACGGCCAUUGAUACUGCAAGACUUGAAUUGUUGGGAAGUAACUAGAAUAUGUAGUGUAGCGGUGAAAUGCUUAGAGAUUACAUGGAAUACCAAUUGCGAAGGCAGGUUACUACCAACACAUUGACGCUGAUGGACGAAAGCGUGGGGAGCGAACAGG